rnacentral:rRNA from 1 species
GACGAACGCUGGCGGCGUGCCUAAUACAUGCAAGUUGAGCGAUGAAGAUUGGUGCUUGCACCAAUUUGAAUAGCAGCGAACGGGUGAGUAACGCGUGGGGAAGCUGCUUUUUAGCGGGGGACAACAUUGGGAAACGAAUGCUAAUACCGCAUAACAACUUUAAACAGAAGUUGUAAGUUUGAAAGAUGCAAUUGCAUCACUCAAAGAUGAUCCCGCGUUUUAUUAGCUAGUUGGGGAGGUAAAGGCCCACCAAGGGGAUGAUACAUAGCCGACCUGAGAGGGUGGUCGGCCACAUUGGGACUGAGACACGGCCCCAACUCCUUCGGGAGGCAGCAGUAGGGAAUCUUCGGCAAUGGACGACAGUCUUACCGCACCACGCCGCGUGAGUGAAGAAGGUUUUCGGAUCGUAAAACUCUGUUGGUAGAGAAGAACGUUGGUGAGAGUGGAAAGCUCAUCAAGUGACGGUAACUACACAGAAAGGGACGGCUAACUACGUG